AAUAGGUUGGCAGAAUAGUGCCACAGAAUUAGGAUCAGUUCAUGGAUAUUAUCCACCUAUUA
rnacentral:tRNA from 1 species